UACAUAUCAAUAAGCGGUGGAAAAGAAACCAACAGGGAUUCCCUUAGUAACGGCGAGCGAACAGGGAAGAGCCCAGUAUGAAAAUCUCCAGCCUUUGGCUGGCGAAUUGUAGUCUGGAGGAGCGCUCCCUGGGUGGGUGCUGGCCGAAGUAUACUGGAAGGUAUCGCUAUAGAGGGUGAGAGCCCCGUAGGCCAGUUAACCCGUCCUUCACGGGACGCUUUCAAAGAGUCGCGUUGUUUGGGAAUACAGCGCUAAUUGGGUGGUAAACCCCAUCUAAGGCUAAAUACCAAUGGGAGACCGAUAGCGAAAAAGUACCUCGAGGGAACGAUGAAAAGACCGCUGGCAAGCGAGUAAAAGAGUGCAUGAAAUUGUGUAGCGGGAAGGGAUGGCCUGGUAGCAUGCGCCCGGGUUGAUGUGGUUCGCAAGAGCUGCUGUCUGCACUGGGUGCUGGCUGGUACCGGCGCCCUUGGCCGUACAAUACUCUGCUGAGGUGCAGAGCACUGCGGGCGAGGGUGCCGAGGCUGAUCAGUUGCUUUGCCCCUUCGGGGAGCUGCUCUGACAGGGUACCAGCUGAAACCUGUCCAUCUGCCCGUUGGAAA
rnacentral:rRNA from 1 species